AUGCCCGACAACAACAUUUACAAGGUAACGGGACUUAUGGUUGAUCAUUGGAAAGAUUUGAUACUAUUCUACUUACAAGUACAAGGAUACCGAAGGUUAUAAAUAUUAAGGUAUACACUAAAGCUGACACAGUUAUAAGAAGUCUACUACCAAAUUUAAGUGAAUACUUAUGGAAUACUGCAGCAGAUACUACCGAAACAGUCAAGACAACAACAGGAAACUGGAAAAUCAAGGAAAAAUUAGUGACAAUAUAACAAAAUAAGUCAACAUUGACGAAGUGGUCUUAAUAAACAAAAAAAGGGACAGACUAUUUCACUAUGCGAACACUUAUGGAAUAUGGCGUUUUAUAUGUGUAUAUAUAUACAUUUACAGACCUAGGAUAAAUAAAGGUACUCGUAAUAGGUGUUGACGAUGUAAUAAAGAACCAGAUGAACCACAUGCACUGCGUAACUGUCCCAAGCAAAUCAUGCAGCGUUGAGGAAAUGGAACCAGAGAAUCUAUAAACAAUAAUAAUUGAAUAAACAUACCAUACAGAUAUAAAAUAACAACAAACCACAAAUACAAAGUAACGACAAACUAAUAAGGAAGAAAUAGAAAUAGCCAAUAAAUUUAGAAACAGGUUAGAAAUUAAUCGAGAUAGAUUAUCCAAGUAUCAACGAUAAACGUGAUUAAAAUAAGAAAUUAUUAUAUUGUACUAAGAUAUUAGUCUUAAUGUAUUAAAUUUCGUGUAAAGAAAUAAGGUUAUGUUAUGCAAUAGUGACUAGUGAUAGUAUACUAUGCGCAUAUUAAAUUAAAUUAAUUAAGCAAACACUCUAUAAAAUAAACCACUCAAAACAAAGGAGUGAAACAAUGCCACUAAUAAAUUGUAAAUUUCAACAAUAACGUAAUCCACUUGCUAUUAUAAUAAAAUAACACACA